rnacentral:rRNA from 1 species
UGGGCGUAAAGCGCGCGCAGGCGGUUUCUUAAGUCUGAUGUGAAAGCCCCCGGCUCAACCGGGGAGGGUCAUUGGAAACUGGGAAACUUGAGUGCAGAAGAGGAGAGUGGAAUUCCACGUGUAGCGGUGAAAUGCGUAGAGAUGUGGAGGAACACCAGUGGCGAAGGCGACUCUCUGGUCUGUAACUGACGCUGAGGCGCGAAAGCGUGGGGAGCGAACAGGAUUAGAUACCCUGGUAGUCCACGCCGUAAACGAUGAGUGCUAAGUGUUAGAGGGUUUCCGCCCUUUAGUGCUGCAGCUAACGCAUUAAGCACUCCGCCUGGGGAGUACGGUCGCAAGACUGAAACUCAAAGGAAUUGACGGGGGCCCGCACAAGCGGUGGAGCAUGUGGUUUAAUUCGAAGCAACGCGAAGAACCUUACCAGGUCUUGACAUCCUUUGCCACUUCUAGAGAUAGAAGGUUCCCCUUCGGGGGACAAAGUGACAGGUGGUGCAUGGUUGUCGUCAGCUCGUGUCGUGAGAUGUUGGGUUAAGUCCCGCAACGAGCGCAACCCUUGAUCUUAGUUGCCAGCAUUCAGUUGGGCACUCUAAGGUGACUGCCGGUGACAAACCGGAGGAAGGUGGGGAUGACGUCAAAUCAUCAUGCCCCUUAUGACCUGGGCUACACACGUGCUACAAUGGAUGGUACAAAGGGCUGCGAGACCGCGAGGUUUAGCCAAUCCCAUAAAACCAUUCUCAGUUCGGAUUGCAGGCUGCAACUCGCCUGCAUGAAGCUGGAAUCGCUAGUAAUCGCGGAUCAGCAUGCCGCGGUGAAUACGUUCCCGGGCCUUUGUACACACCGCCCGUCACACCCACGAGAGUUUGCAACACCCCGAAGUCGGUGGGGUAACCGCAAGGAGCCAGCCGCCUAAGGUGGGGUAGAUGAUUGGGGUGAAGUCGUAACAAGGUAACCGUAA